rnacentral:rRNA from 1 species
CCUACGGGAGGCAGCAGUAAGGAAUAUUGGGCAAUGGAGGCAACUCUGACCCAGCCAUGCCGCGUGAAGGAUGAAGGCCCUAUGGGUUGUAAACUUCUUUUGUACGGGAAUAAACCUGGUUACGUGUAACCAGUUGAAUGUACCGUAAGAAUAAGCACCGGCUAACUCCGUGCCAGCAGCCGCGGUAAUACGGAGGGUGCAAGCGUUAUCCGGAUUUAUUGGGUUUAAAGGGAGCGUAGGCGGGAUUGUAAGUCAGUGGUGAAAGCCCGUAGCUCAACUACGGAACUGCCAUUGAUACUGCAGACCUAGAGUACACUUGAAGUGGGCGGAAUGUGUCAUGUAGCGGUGAAAUGCUUAGAUAUGACACAGAACACCAAUUGCGAAGGCAGCUCACUAAAUUGUAACUGACGCUGAGGCUCGAUAGCGUGGGGAUCAAACAGGAUUAGAUACCCUGGUAGUCCACGCCGUAAACGAUGAUUACUCGAUGUUGGGUCGAUACACUGUCNCGCGUCUGAGACGAACGACAUUAAGUAAUACCACCGUACGGGAGGUACGGUCGCGAGACGUAGAACGUACGAACGAAGUUAGUACGGCGUAGAGACGUUAGCCGACGGACGACGACGAGGGAGGAGG